AUGCCAUUUGCUAGCUUGGCACAGGCAGCUCUGCAGCUCCUCUGCAGGCACUCUGGGGUUCGCCUCAACCGAGGCUUUGGCUCGGCUCCGGUGAUUCUCCCGCUCUCCGCGCAGGAACUGCCGAUGGCGAUUAACGUUAAACCCACCAGCAAGGGCCCGGGCGACACAGCACAAACCGCUUCGCUUCCCCGGAGCCUACUGUGGCCUCCCGAGGGACCCUGUUUUCCCCCUGCCUUUCCCGCAGGCAACGCGGCCGCAGCGGGAGAGCUCUGUGCUGGACUCGGCGGCCAUUCGAUGCCCGGGGGAUGGCGGCUGCCAUAUAGGUCCUGCAGCGCCAGCAAAGGGGAGGCGGCGCUGGAGCGGCCGCUCCGAUCCUGGCUCCCUCCGUCCGUCGGCGGGCAGCUCCCGCCAGCGAGCCGCUGGCCGGCGGCGGGACCUAUAUGCUCUCGCGGAAGGUUACCGCUGCCUGGCACGGAGGCUGCCGACGGAAGCGGUGCUGAGGCUUCUGAGGCAACACUUUGUCAAGGAGCGCCUGAUUGGCUAACGGGACUCUGCAAUGGUUAUCUGGUAAGAGUCAAGGCCUCUGAUUGGUCUUGCUGUACCUGCAAUGCGUCAAGUGAGGAUGCUGGGGUGCGCGUGCCAGAGCGCUGCCGGGGGGCGGCCGCGGCCCCGCCGGGAAUGGCUGCCCGCAGCUGGCGCUGUCCGCAGCACCGGCCAGCUCCGGGCGUUCUGGGCCCUUCCCGGCGGCAUCAGCACUCCCAGCGGAACAUUUCCCGCCUCUUGGUACCGCUGCAGCUUGCAGCAAUAGCUUGGCUGAUGAGCCAGAGUUGGCAGGAAGGAGCUAUUCCUCAGUCAGUGACCUCUUUAGAGCAGGGUUUCUACGUAAAGGAGCAGCAGAAAGACAAAGCCUCUUUUCUCAAUCCUUUACCACAACACAGGGUGCCAGAGGUGCAAAAUGUGGCAGAACAAACCUUCUUAUGCUGCCCUUCCACUGCCCAUGUGAGAAGCGUCUCUUGGACCGCUGCUCCAAGUGACAGCUUGAGUGGCAGCUGGGGGAGGAUAUGCAUGGCGAAGUGA
rnacentral:lncRNA from 1 species